GUGGGGAAUAUUGGACAAUGGGCGAAAGCCUGAUCCAGCAAUGCCGCGUGUGUGAAGAAGGUCUUCGGAUUGUAAAGCACUUUAAGUUGGGAGGAAGGGCAGUAAGUUAAUACCUUGCUGUUUUGACGUUACCGACAGAAUAAGCACCGGCUAACUUCGUGCCAGCAGCCGCGGUAAUACGAAGGGUGCAAGCGUUAAUCGGAAUUACUGGGCGUAAAGCGCGCGUAGGUGGUUUUGUAAGGUGGAGGUGAAAUCCCCGGGCUCAACCUGGGAACUGCCUCCAAAACUGCAUGACUAGAGUACGGUAGAGGGUAGUGGAAUUUCCUGUGUAGCGGUGAAAUGCGUAGAUAUAGGAAGGAACACCAGUGGCGAAGGCGACUACCUGGACUGAUACUGACACUGAGGUGCGAAAGCGUGGGGAGCAAACAGGAUUAGAUACCCCUGUAGUCC
rnacentral:rRNA from 1 species